CCUACGGGAGGCUGCAGUGAGGAAUAUUGGUCAAUGGGCGCGAGCCUGAACCAGCCAAGUAGCGUGAAGGAUGACUGCCCUACGGGUUGUAAACUUCUUUUAUAAAGGAAUAAAGUGAGGCACGUGUGCCUUUUUGUAUGUACUUUAUGAAUAAGGAUCGGCUAACUCCGUGCCAUCAGCCGCGUUAAUACGGAGGAUCCGAGCGUUAUCCGGAUUUAUUGGGUUUAAAGGGAGCGUAGAUGGGUUGUUAAGUCAGUUGUGAAAGUUUGCGGCUCAACCGUAAAAUUGCAAUUGAUACUGGCAGUCUUGAGUACAGUUGAGGUAGGCGGAAUUCGUGGUGUAGCGGUGAAAUGCUUAGAUAUCACGAAGAACUCCGAUUGCGAAGGCAGCUUACUAAACUGCCACUGACAUUGAUGCUCGAAAGUGUGGGUAUCAAACAGGAUUAGAUACCCCAGUAGUC
rnacentral:rRNA from 1 species